rnacentral:lncRNA from 1 species
AUCCUAUCUCCCAGUCACAUAAGUCAAUUUUCAUGCCUAAGGACAAUAAGAGGAAAGGUCAGAAAGAGGCCCAGAAUUAAUACUUUUUGGACUUUCUUCACAGAAAUAACAUGUGGAAUAUGAGGAGAAAGUAUUCUUUAGCAAAAGCAGGAAUUGUUUAAGAAAGCUUGAAAUGUUUAACCCGAAGAAGUAAAUAUUUUUAGGACUCAACUUGCUGAAGAAAAUCUUGCCAGUGAAAAAUAAGUCAACAGAGUCUAGCAUGUUUUCAACCACGAGCUGGGGAAAGAACAAUGGUUUCUGAUGAAAGAGAGAGAGAAGCAGAUAUAGAGACGGAGAGACAGAGACAAAAUGAAUCCAUCAUAUUCAGCUGACAAAACCUAUUCAGGGAACUGCCCACCUUAGAUUCUUCAGGACAUGGACAUUCCACAUACAACAAUUUAAAUGUUACAUGAUUUAUGAGUCAAUGUGAAAAAUAAGGAAAACUUAUUUUACAUCAAUUAAUAAAAUUGCACCAAGAAAUCCUCAUUGAUAUCAGGAAGAAGACACACUUUUACCAGAAACUGUGUAAGUGUGCCUGGCAGCUGGGACUUAUGAAAAUACAAGGAAUUAAUACCAAAAACACCCUUAUAACACCUUGUGUUGUCUUUUAUUGUUACUUGGCAAAUGCCAAGGUUCUUUGCCCUUGUUCAUGGUUUUGUACUUUUGAGAUUAUUUCUCUCUCCUAUNAUACAGAAAAACACCCAGUGCUCAUCCCGUCAAGUGUCCACCUCAGUGCCCGGUUUUGUACUUUUGAGAUUACUUCUCUCUCCUACAGGGGCUAUGAAGCUUAGAAUGUUCCUGCCCUGAAUACUGAUUUCUAACAAGUUGG